UCUCUCCUCCUCUCCACGGCUGCAGACGGAGGCCAACGACCAGAACACGUUUCCCACCAAAAGCACUUCUCUGUCUCACCGAUUGCCUGCGAUUCCCACCGCUCCGGCCGUCUCCAUGGCCGCCUCGGCCUCCUCCUCCACUGCCGCCACAGUCAUGUCGGGGCCCAACUCCGGACGGAGCGUACUCCCAGGCCCUCCCCCACCAACGCCGUCGAACCACCACGCGCUCCCCUCCUCCGCAGCAGCCGGGGGCACGGACGCCGCGCUCUCCGCUUUCCUCCACCGCCGCCUCCUCUCCUCCCCGGCCCCGCCUCUCCGAUCGCCGCCCUACGUUCGGUCUCAGGCGCCGCACUCCCUUCCGCCUCUCGUCUCGCUCGACAGCCCCGACCCGCGCGCCCUCCGCGACGCCGCCGACGCGGGCUACUUCCACCUCGUCGGCCACGGGGUGCCUUCCGAGCUACCGUCUUCCGCGCUCUCCGAGCUCUCUCUCAUCGACGCGUCAACGCUCCAGGAGUCGAAUCUACGCACGCUCGGCUUCACGGAGGAGGAGCAGGAUGCGGACGACAGAGACGAAGACCCCGCCGUGGUGUUUGACGCCUGCGAGGGGGAAAUGGACGCGCUCCCGGCGUUAGCGGAGUACGCGCGGCGGAUGAGGGACUUGGGCAUGCAGGUGGUGGCGCUACUGUCCGGGUGCCCCGACGUGGGUUUCCGGGAGGAACCGUUUGCGGAGGGGAGGAGGACGGCGAGGUGUCUGGUGUGGGCCUCCAGGGUCUCCGCUGGCGAGACGGCGGCGCAUCCAGCCACCGGGAAGGCGAAGGCGUACCCGUACGUCGUGGGACUUCACUGCCAGUGGGAGCCUUCCGGGCAGGAAUCGGCGCCGGCGAGCUGGGUGAUGGGCGACGGCGGCGAGUGGACAGCCGUAGGCGCACGCCACGGCGCGAUACUUGUCACCAUUGGCGACAUUGCCCAGGUGUGGAGCAAUGGUAAGUUGAAGAAAGUGAGAGGGAUGGCGCACCCCACCUCCACACCCGAGGCCGGGCAGCAGGGCGAGCCUGAUCUGUUGUCGGUCACCGUGCUCAUCACCCUGUGUCUGGACAGUGUCAUCUCGCCGUUGGUCCCGUGCGCCGAUGCCGCCGGCGAAGAGGGCCGCGAGGACGAGGCAGAUGGUGCCAAUGGCGAGGAUGAGGAUGGGUGGAGGUUCCGCUCGUUUUUGCUGGAGGACUACGCGUGGAGGGUCUAUCACCAGCGGCUUCAGUUCAAGGAUCCGCUGGUCCGUUACCGGACAUGAGAUUGCAACAAUGCCCUUGGAUCAACAUGGAUUGAGGCUUGAUCCCGACCAACCUUGGGUCCAGACCCACGUUGGGAAGAAACCAUGUGGUGGCUGAAUGUGCAUUUGGCAACGACAUGAGUUGGAAUGUUCCUGAUCCAAUCCACACCGAUUCAUGGGAGAAACACACAUCCCCAUCGAGGCCAGGAACAGAGCUUGCUCUUGUGUUAUCUUUUCGUGUGUGGCGUUUGCCUCACAGUCUACUCCGGCGACGCUCCACCCCAGCAGCGCUUAUCUUCGGUGUUCUCCUCCCCAAUGGCUCACUCCGGCAUUCUCCUCCCUAGCGGCUGAUCUGAUGUUGUGCAUGGUGGUUGAUAUGCGGCGUUUGGUGGCUCAAUUGCUCAAGUUCUAGGCAGCAACUCAAGUUCUUCAACAAUCUGCACUGGACACCACGUGCCCUGCAAAAUCUCCAAAUACACUGUGUCCCGCAAAAGCUCUUGAAGUUGAGGAUCCAAGCUGGCUUGUUGAAAACAAUACAUUAAGGUCUUUAGGUGUGGCAUAAUGUACCACCAAGUUUGACUAUGUAUUUACGUUGUUAGGCGCUGCAUGUUGUAUU